AUGCUUCAAAUUUGUCACACAACGUUGCAUCCUACGGGACUUGCAAACUACAACACAAGUAUUUCUCAAAUUCACAAUUACUCAACUAGCAUGACUCUAAUAUUACCAUCUUCAUAUCUCAAAACAAUCAUCAAGUAUCAAACUUCUCAUAGUAUUCAAUGCACUCUAUAUGGAAGUUUUUAUUAUACCCAUCUUGAUGCCUAUCAUAUUAGGACUAAUUUUAUAGCCAAAGCAAAUUACCAUGCUGUUCUAAAGGACUCUCAAAAUAAUAUAAGUGAAGCAUGCGAGAUCAAUAAUUUCUAUAAAAUAAAACCACCAUCGUGCCCUAAAAGAUAUAAGUGA
rnacentral:rRNA from 1 species